GAAGUUCAAAAAUUUUUAAAACCAACAUUAGAAGUUAAACAACUGAAAAAUGUCAUCAAAAGAGCCAUAAAAUGGUUAACCACAAACUCGAGAUGAUGAAUAUUCUCAAUAGAUUUUGAGUCGCCUACAUUAAUCUAUGUGAGUUGCAUCGCACCAACCAUUUAUAUAUCUAUUGCAUGAGUUGUAGCAUUAACAAAAUCAACAAGACAUAACUAAAAGAUAUUAACCAUUACAAGUUUAACAAAAUUAGAACUUAUUAGAUUAACAAAUGCAACAUAAGAAUAUAGAAAAACAAUGUUUACUCACUCGUCUCAAUUUUCUCAUAAAACUCCUUCUCUUCAAUACAAAUUCCAUCUUGGGGUAGUCUCAAAAGUCCAGAUUCUUCACGUAACCAAUUUUGUGUGCAAAUUAACGCCUCAAUUGUUUUAGGAGUUUAAGAACUCCUAAAUGAAUCAAGAACUAGUUCGCUCGUGCUAAAUGUUGACUCAGAAGCAAUCGUAGAGAGGGAAAUGGCAAGCACAUCCCUCGCUAUCUCAGAUAAAGUACUAAUACAAAAUAUCAAAUUUUGCAUUUGUGGGGUCUUAAGUAUUCUCUCCCAACCAUUUUUGAAUCUAAUCUUUUUCAGCUAAAUCCACAUUGCUAAUUUUCAAUUUUUUUGGUACCCUAUGUCAACUUAAUUAAAUGGACUCAUAUCAUCUCCAUCUUCAUCAUCAUUUGAACCAUCAACUGAAGUUACUCCGUUAUUAGAAUUAUUACCACCAAUUCCACUAUCAAUACCGUGUUGUCCAUUGUAUUCAUUGUAUAAAGCAGACAACAUUUUCAUUACUUCACUCUUCCACCUUCUUGUCAUCAUACAAGAUACUUGUACAAUAUGCAACAUAUUCAAAUUUGUACCUAGGAUCAAGUAUAAAUGCUAAAAGUAAAAGCUUGUUUAUUUUCUCAACUGUACCCCAAUACUUAUCAAACUUGACCUUCAUAUGGCAAGCUAUACUUCUUAGUAAAUGAUCAUUUUUAUUACUCAGUGUUGCAAACUUCUUUGAAGUAAAGACUAAAGUAACAUGUAGUAAUGAACUAAACUUCAAAGUGACUUCAUGAAAAAUUCUUAAAAAUUUGGCAAAUUUUCUUGCCUUAUCCCAAUCAUCAUUAGUAGGUGGUCCUUCUCUUUCAUGUCCAUUUUCACGCUUGUUAAAAUAUUCAUAAUAAAAUCCAUCCUUUUCCUCCAUAUGUUCAAAUGCUUUCUGAAAAUUCAAUGCACUAUCCAACAUUAAAAAUUUUGAAUUUCAUCUAGUAUGUACAUCUAGAACAGCAAGCUUUUUGCAACCAAUCUUCCCAUUCUUAACACAAGCUUUAAACUUUAUAUGCCUAGAAGGAGAUGAUCGAAAAUAUUUUAUAGUAUUUCGAAUACUUGCUAUGGAGUGAUUAAACUCCUUCAACCCAUUAUUAACAAUCAAAUUAAUGAUAUGCGUCGAACACCUAACAUGCAAAUAAGCAUCACCCAAAAUUAUGCAAUCGGCUCUCCAAUUCUUCAACUAGUUUUUCACAUAAAUGAUUGUCGUAUCAUUUUGAUUUGCAUUGUCAAUAGUAAUAGUCAACACGUGCUCUAUCCCCCAAUCAAGCACACUAUUUUCAACAAGUUUUCCUAUGUCUCCCCCCCUUAUGAUUUGGAACAACGGAAAAACUCAAAAUCCUCUUAUAUAAUUUCCAAGUUCUAUCAAUAAAGUGUGUCAUGAUUACUAUUUAAUUGAUAUUUUGAAUUGAUGUACAACAAUCAGUGGCAAGAGCAACCCUUUGCCUAUUCUGAAUAAGUUUAUUCUUCAAUGAUUCAUUUGUUUCAUUGUAAAGAUAGAGCACAUCCUUAGCAAUUGUUCUUCGAAAAGGAAUAUCAAACUUAGGAUUGAGUUUUGCACAAACUCUUUAAAAAUCCAUACCCUCCACAAAGGAAAAAAACAAUUCAUCAAUUAUAAUCAUUUUAACUAGAUAUCUUCUACAUUCUUCUUUAUUAUAAAUGAUGCUAUAAGAUUAAACAUGCUACCAUUACCAUUACUACCAUCAUUUCUCUGUGGUGUUAAGAUCUUUUGUUGGUCGCCAAACUGAGUAGCCUUAUAUGCAUGACAACUAUCCAAAUGCUUCCACAUACUGGAAGUUUCACCUUUUGAAUUACUUUGAAGGACUUCCCCACAGUAAUUGUAUUUUGAUGUUUUCCAUUACUUACCUUAGUAAAUCUCAACCAAAUUGCUGACCUUGUCUUCGUUUUCUUUUUAGUUCUAGGUGUCUCAUCAUACAUCUACAAAAAAUAAAUUAUUUUGUUAUAACCUUUACCAAAUGUAAUUUGAAAAGGAAAAAAAUAAUAAAGGCACACCACAAAUUUUG
rnacentral:lncRNA from 1 species